AGGGAUUGAGCAAAGGGAGAGAUGGGUGCAUGGGCAGUAAAGUCCUGGUCUCGGAGCGGCUGGAGCUCUUGGUCCUGUACAAGGAGUAUGCUGAGGACGACAAUAUCUACCAACAGAAGAUCAAGGACCUCCACAAAAAGUAUUCGUACAUCUGCAAGACCAAGCCCGACGGGAGCUGCUUCUACUGAGCCUUCGGCUUCUCCCACCUGGAGGCGCUGCUGGAUGGCAGCAAGGAGUUGCAGAGGUUCAAGGCUGUGUCUGCCAAGAGCAAAGAAGACCUGGUGUCCCAGGGCUUCACCGAGUUCACAAUUGAGGAUUUCCACAACACGUUCAUGGACCUGAUCGAGCAGGUGGAGAAGCAGACCUCAGUAGCCGACCUGCUGGCUUCCUUCCACGACCAGAGCACCUCGGACUACCUGGUGGUCUACCUGCGGCUGCUCACCUCUGGCUACCUGCAGCGGGAGAGCAAGUUCUUCGAGAACUUCAUUGAGGGUGGGCGGACUGUCGAGGAGUUCUGCCAGCAGGAGGUGGAGCCCAUGUGCAAGGAGAGCGAUCACAUCCACAACAUCGCGCUGGCCCAGGCCCUCAACAUCUCCAUCCAGGUGGAGUACAUCGACCGCGGCACCACCAACCCGCACAUCUUCCCCGAGGGCUCUGAGCCCAAGGUCUACAUUCUCUACCGGCCUGGACACUACGACAUCCUCUACAAAUAGGGCUGGCUCUGCCCGCCGCUGCCCUGCUGCCCUCCCCUCUGCCAGGCACUAGACAUGUACAGAGGUUUUUGUGUGGUUGUAAAUGGUCAUAUUUCACUCCCCCUUCCCUGUCAUACAACCUUCCACGUUUUAUUAAAGGGGAUGCUGGUGGUG